UACGCAGGGUGCGAGCGUUAUCCGGAAUUAUUGGGCGUAAAGGGGGCGUAGGCGGCCUUACAAGUCUGAGUUGAAAGCCCACGGCUCAACCGUGGAGGUCGCUCGGAAACUGCAAGGCUUGAAGCCAGAAGAGGGGAGUGGAAUUCUAUGUGUAGCGGUGAAAUGCGUAGAUAUAUGGAGGAAUACCAGUGGCGAAGGCGGCUUGCUGGACUGGGCUUGACGCUGAGGCGCGAAAGCGUGGGGAGCAAACAGG
rnacentral:rRNA from 1 species